GUAUUUGUUCCCGUGAAUGACAGCGUCUAUGCUGUGGUCAUGAAAACCUUGGACGAGAACAGUGACUCAGCGGGCCUCUGGCAAAGAGCGGAUAAAAAUUGCUACAGCAACUCCACGUAUUACGUGAAAGAUCAAUACAUGACGGUCUUAGAGGCACAGUGGCAAGCUCCUGAACCUGAGAACAUAACUGAAGUGGAGAUACAGCUUUCACUGUCCAGAUCAGAGCGCUGCCUAUACUUUCUACUCUGAAG
rnacentral:lncRNA from 1 species